rnacentral:lncRNA from 1 species
CUAGUGAGGUUUUUUUAGAUAUUUAUGAAUCCAUAAGUUAGAUUGAAGUAAAGUUUUCCAUAGAAGUAGUCAGCUUGAUUUCUAACAAUUAUGUAAAGUUUGAAAGCAAAAUAAUUGUUCAAUUAGGAGUAAUUGACUCUAAGAGAUUGGCAUCAAAGUCGGAAAAGGAGGCCAGUCGACACCCAAGCACAUUUUUGAGAUUAUUGUCUAUUUGAUAAUUUUGAUAUUUUUUAAUUUUUUUUACUUAUUAUUAAUUUAAUUAGUGAAGAAUGUGAAAAAAUUGAAUUGAAAUCAAUAGUUCAAACAUUAGUUAUUGAAUUUCAAAAUCUAUCGUAAGAUUGUUAGAAAUUUUUUUGAGAUUUAAAAAAUUGAUUAGGAUUGACUAGAAUUAGGAUUUGGUUAGGAUUAGAAUUUAAUUAGGAUUAGAAUUUGAAUUGGUUUAGGGUUUGAUUUGGAUUUCUUUAAAAUUUCUUUAGGAUUUUUUAGGAUUCUUUAGGAUUCUUUAAGUUUCUUUAGGUCUUUUUUAUGUUUUUUUUAUAAUUUAUUUUUAAAAUAAAAUAAAAAUAAAAUAAAAUAAUAAUAAUAAUAAUAAUAAUAAUUGGACUUAAUUGAUGCUUGAUUAUAUUUAUUAAGCUUCUAUACCAAUUUAUGUAUAAUUUUAUUAGAGUGGUUAAGACUUACUGUUGCAAAUUCUUUUUAGCUUCCAUAGCCAAGUGCUUAGUGUAUUCUUAAGUAAGACUUCACGAAAUAUGACUAUAUUGGAAAUAUAUGAGAUUUAUACUUUUAGAAUGUUGAUAAGUUUAUGAAGAUCUGUAAUAGUUACAAAUCUAUUCUUACUUUUGCUAAGAAUAGUAU